GAUGAACGCUAGCUACAGGCUUAACACAUGCAAGUCGAGGGGCAGCAUGACGAUAGCUUGCUAUUGUCGAUGGCGACCGGCGCACGGGUGAGUAACGCGUAUCCAACCUUCCCGUUGCUAGGGGAUAACCUUGCGAAAGUAAGACUAAUACCCUAUGAAGUUCUUCGCAGACAUCUAAAGAGAACGAAAGAUUUAUCGGCAACGGAUGGGGAUGCGUCUGAUUAGGUUGUUGGCGGGGUAACGGCCCACCAAGCCCACGAUCAGUAGGGGUUCUGAGAGGAAGGUCCCCCACAUUGGAACUGAGACACGGUCCAAACUCCUACGGGAGGCAGCAGUGAGGAAUAUUGGUCAAUGGACGGAAGUCUGAACCAGCCAAGUAGCGUGCAGGAUGACGGCCCUAUGGGUUGUAAACUGCUUUUAUGUGGGAAUAAAGUGAGGGACGUGUCCCUUUUUGUAGGUACCACAUGAAUAAGGACCGGCUAAUUCCGUG
rnacentral:rRNA from 1 species